GAUGAACGCUAGCGGCAGGCCUAAUACAUGCAAGUCGAACGGAUAUAUGUUUUUCGGAAUAUAUAUUAGUGGCGCACGGGUGAGUAACACGUACAUAACUUGCCCUCAAGCGGGGGAUAGCCUUGGGAAACUGAGAGUAAUACCCCAUAGAAUUAUUGGACGGCAUCGUUUGAUAAUUAAAACUACGGUGCUUGGGGAUAGAUGUGCGUCUGAUUAGCUAGUUGGUGGGGUAACUGCUCACCAAGGCGACGAUCAGUAGGGGGCGUGAGAGCGUGGCCCCCCACACGGGUACUGAGACACGGACCCGACUCCUACGGGAGGCAGCAGUAAGGAAUAUUGGUCAAUGGAGGGAACUCUGAACCAGCCAUGCCGCGUGAAGGAUGACGGCCCUCUGGGUUGUAAACUUCUUUUGGAUGGGGGCAAAAAACGGGNUUUAUCCUGGACUGACGGUACCAUCAGAAUAAGCACCGGCUAACUCCGUGCCAGCAGCCG
rnacentral:rRNA from 1 species